UGGAGCGCCUCGACCGCCAGGGUUACUGUGCCCGCGACUACUACGAGCGGCUGCCGGAGCUGCGCACGGCGGUGGAUCAGCUGAGCAGCGGUUUCUUCAGCCCGCGGCAGCCCGAUCUGUUCCGGGACAUCGUCAAUAUGCUCAUGAACCACGACCGAUUUAAGGUUUUCGCUGACUAUGAAUCAUACGUCAAAUGCCAGGAGCGCGUCAGUGAGCUCUACAAGGACUCGCGGCAGUGGACGCGGACGGUGAUUCGGAACAUCGCGGCGGCGGGGAAAUUCUCGAGCGACCGAA
rnacentral:misc_RNA from 1 species